CUCUUUCUGGACAUUACUCCUCUUGGAGCCUUCUCAGUGAGCUCAGGGCACAAAUCACCUUUUUUGCCAACUGUGUUCUUGCAGUGGUUGCAUUGCUCUGAGGUUACUUCUACCAGGUCUUCAGGAUCUCUUGCUUAAGUCUAUCAGUUUCAGUUCACUUGAAAACUUCUAAGUAUCUGAAUAAUUUCUAAUUAAUUAUUUGCCUGAACUGAAAAAGGCUGCUCAGGAAGAUGGUGUGACCAGGAGAGAUGAAGACAGCACACUUGUGAGAAACGAUCCUGUUAUCACUCUCUAGAAAAUGAAACUUUUUCUUACAUGCAGCCUAAAAUGAGCAAAAUGAAAAGGCCAGGAAAGCAAUUUCACAAUGUUCUUAGCCAAGACUCUCUUAAAAUAGGCUUUAAUAAUGAGUUAUUGGGAUUGACAGGGCCAAGCUCUGUCUCAUUUCCUAAGUAUUAUACUAUAAUAGAACCCAGGAGACAAAUGCAGCUUUUACUCCAAAAGCACCUACAAAAGCGACCAAAGGUCAUUCAAUUCACAACUGCAGUGCACCUCCCAUCAAUGGAAAUCAACCUAGUGGAAGAGCCACAUGUGUUUUAGGCCAAAGCCACAUAUUUCAGAGAGAAAACUCAACUCGGAUCAAAGGAGGAAUGAGGAGGACUCAUAGCCAAACCACAUGUACUUUGCAGUCUAUUUGCCAAACUCUUCGCCUAGCUAACAGCCAGAGAAGGGACAAAACCCUUCAUUGCUCCAUCCCCCAGAGGUUCCUCUUUCUCUCCAUAAGCCUCAGGACAGAGGCCUGGUAAUAACUGAGUAGCAAAACUUUUCCCAAGUCUCUCUCAGAUGGCCUGAGAAAGAGGCUAACAGAUCUUGUGAAAUUCAAGCGAUAAACCACUAAUUUGAGUGACAUCCUAGGAAUAUGACUGCUUGGGUCAGUGGGCAGUGUCAAGAGAGUCAAAUCCUGUUCAGUCUUUGCAGAUCUAAAGCUGAGAUGCUGCAAGAAUCUUGAUGAGAUCUAAUGAGCCACAAGUGAAUACACAUUCUGCAAAAUGUAGGUCCAGGAAAAGCCAGUCCCCCAAGGGCCUUGACACUGCCGUUUGUCUUCUGUGCCCCACACUCAAGCCCAGAGUGAAGCAGAAAGGACCUGGUGCAGGUAUUUGGAGGUGUCAGGAGCCAGGUAAACUUACCCCAGAAUUCAUCAUCCCACAGUUCCUAUCAGAUUAUUUUUUCUAUUCUGUACUGUUGGUGGUGUUUAAGGUUACAUCUCUCAUUAGCCCUCUGGAUCCCAGAACUUCACGCUGUGGCAAAGAUUCAGGGCUGUUGCUAUGUGUCGCUUACAGGACAUGAAUAUUUACUUUCAUACUUCCCAGUGCUGCUUAAACAGAGGAAAGGCCAUCUUGCAAAGCAAAUCUAUCUCCUUAGGAGAAAUCCCAACAGUACCAAAAGUAU
ensembl:lncRNA